UACGUAGGGACCAAGCGUUGUUCGGAUUCACUGGGCGUAAAGGGCGCGUAGGCGGCGUGGUAAGUCACUUGUGAAAUCUCUGGGCUUAACUCAGAACGGUCAACUGAUACUGUCGGGCUAGAGUGCAGAAGGGGCAACUGGAAUUCUCGGUGUAGCGGUGAAAUGCGUAGAUAUCGAGAGGAACACCUGCGGCGAAGGCGGGUUGCUGGGCUGACACUGACGCUGAGGCGCGAAAGCUAGGGGAGCGAACGGG
rnacentral:rRNA from 1 species